UGCAAGUCGAACGGUAACAGGUCUUCGGAUGCUGACGAGUGGCGAACGGGUGAGUAAUACAUCGGAACGUGCCCGAUCGUGGGGGAUAACGAAGCGAAAGCUUUGCUAAUACCGCAUACGAUCUACGGAUGAAAGCAGGGGACCGCAAGGCCUUGCGCGAACGGAGCGGCCGAUGGCAGAUUAGGUAGUUGGUGGGGUAAAGGCUUACCAAGCCUACGAUCUGUAGCUGGUCUGAGAGGACGACCAGCCACACUGGGACUGAGACACGGCCCAGACUCCUACGGGAGGCAGCAGUGGGGAAUUUUGGACAAUGGGCGCAAGCCUGAUCCAGCAAUGCCGCGUGCAGGAUGAAGGCCUUCGGGUUGUAAACUGCUUUUGUACGGAACGAAAAGGCUCUGGUUAAUACCUGGGGCUCAUGACGGUACCGUAAGAAUAAGCACCGGCUAACUACGUGCCAGCAGCCGCGGUAAUACGUAGGGUGCGAGCGUUAAUCGGAAUUACUGGGCGUAAAGCGUGCGCAGGCGGUUAUGUAAGACAGAGGUGAAAUCCCCGGGCUCAACCUGGGAACUGCCUUUGUGACUGCAUAGCUAGAGUACGGCAGAGGGGGAUGGAAUUCCGCGUGUAGCAGUGAAAUGCGUAGAUAUGC
rnacentral:rRNA from 1 species